rnacentral:tRNA from 1 species
ACGCCUGUAGUUCAACGGUUAGAAUAGGGGUCUCCAAAACCCUUGAUGAGAGUUCGAUUCUUUCCGGGCGUG